CGGAGCUAAUACCGGAUAGUUCCUUGAACCGCAUGGUUCAAGGAUGAAAGACGGUUUCGGCUGUCACUUACAGAUGGACCCGCGGCGCAUUAGCUAGUUGGUGGGGUAAUGGCUCACCAAGGCGACGAUGCGUAGCCGACCUGAGAGGGUGAUCGGCCACACUGGGACUGAGACACGGCCCAGACUCCUACGGGAGGCAGCAGUAGGGAAUCUUCCGCAAUGGACGAAAGUCUGACGGAGCAACGCCGCGUGAGUGAUGAAGGUUUUCGGAUCGUAAAGCUCUGUUGUUAGGGAAGAACAAGUGCGAGAGUAACUGCUCGCACCUUGACGGUACCUAACCAGAAAGCCACGGCUAACUACGUGCCAGCAGCCGCGGUAAUACGUAGGUGGCAAGCGUUGUCCGGAAUUAUUGGGCGUAAAGGGCUCGCAGGCGGUUUCUUAAGUCUGAUGUGAAAGCCCCCGGCUCAACCGGGGAGGGUCAUUGGAAACUGGGAAACUUGAGUGCAGAAGAGGAGAGUGGAAUUCCACGUGUAGCGGUGAAAUGCGUAGAGAUGUGGAGGAACACCAGUGGCGAAGGCGACUCUCUGGUCUGUAACUGACGCUGAGGAGCGAAAGCGUGGGGAGCGAACAGGAUUAGAUACCCUGGUAGUCCACGCCGUAAACGAUGAGUGCUAAGUGUUAGGGGGUUUCCGCCCCUUAGUGCUGCAGCUAACGCAUUAAGCACUCCGCCUGGGGAGUACGGUCGCAAGACUGAAACUCAAAGGAAUUGACGGGGGCCCGCACAAGCGGUGGAGCAUGUGGUUUAAUUCGAAGCAACGCGAAGAACCUUACCAGGUCUUGACAUCCUCUGACAACCCUAGAGAUAGGGCUUUCCCUUCGGGGACAGAGUGACAGGUGGUGCAUGGUUGUCGUCAGCUCGUGUCGUGAGAUGUUGGGUUAAGUCCCGCAACGAGCGCAACCCUUGAUCUUAGUUGCCAGCAUUCAGUUGGGCACUCUAAGGUGACUGCCGGUGACAAACCGGAGGAAGGUGGGGAUGACGUCAAAUCAUCAUGCCCCUUAUGACCUGGGCUACACACGUGCUACAAUGGACAGAACAAAGGGCUGCAAGACCGCAAGGUUUAGCCAAUCCCAUAAAUCUGUUCUCAGUUCGGAUCGCAGUCUGCAACUCGACUGCGUGAAGCUGGAAUCGCUAGUAAUCGCGGAUCAGC
rnacentral:rRNA from 1 species